rnacentral:hammerhead_ribozyme from 1 species
ACUCAAUUGACGAGUCCCGAAUAGGACGAAACGCGAGUCAAACUGGAU